UUGUGCCGUGGUUCUGGAAAAUUACUGCUGUAGCACACCCAUAUCCGGUCUCCCACUGUGGGCCGGGAGCAGGGCUGGCUGUCGCUUGUGACCGGGGAGCGCGGUUCCUCGGAGCACGGGGAUGUUCACUACGGAUUCCAUGCUGCCCAGAACAAGGGGAGCUGCAAAUGCCUGGAGUGGCUUCGAGCCCUCACAGCCCAGCAAGUCCACAGCAGAGGAGGUGCCACGCGACACCACUGUGGUUAUUCAAAGGAAGCCACGGAGAAAAGCAGAGAAGACAGUGUGUCAAAACUGACAGAAAACCCCAUUACUGCAGCCCAGAGAACGGCAGGUGAGAGACAGAAAUAACAGCAACCACAUGGGCUAAAGCACUGUGCAUUAUCAAAGAAUUAGAACAUUCUAAAUGUUUUAAAAACAUUUCCUUCUUGUUUAAAAAUAUUUAGAGCUUUAAAAAUGU
rnacentral:lncRNA from 1 species